CGGCGGACGGGUGAGUAACGCGUGGGUAACCUACCCUGUACACACGGAUAACAUACCGAAAGGUAUGCUAAUACGGGAUAAUAUAUUUGAGAGGCAUCUCUUAAAUAUCAAAGGUGAGCCAGUACAGGAUGGACCCGCGUCUGAUUAGCUAGUUGGUAAGGUAACGGCUUACCAAGGCGACGAUCAGUAGCCGACCUGAGAGGGUGAUCGGCCACAUUGGGACUGAGACAUGGCCCAA
rnacentral:rRNA from 1 species